AUUGAACGCUGGCGGCAUGCCUAACACAUGCAAGUCGAACGGCAGCACAGCAGUAGCAAUACUGUGGGUGGCGAGUGGCGGACGGGUGAGGAAUACGUCGGAAUCUGCCCAGUCGUGGGGGAUAACUAGCCGAAAGGUUAGCUAAUACCGCAUACGACCGAGAGGUGAAAGCGGGGGACCGCAAGGCCUCGCGCGAUUGGAUGAGCCGACGUCGGAUUAGCUAGUUGGCGGGUAAAGGCCCACCAAGGCGACGAUCCGUAGCUGGUCUGAGAGGAUGAUCAGCCACACUGGAACUGAGACACGGUCCAGACUCCUACGGGAGGCAGCAGUGGGGAAUAUUGGACAAUGGGCGCAAGCCUGAUCCAGCAAUGCCGCGUGUGUGAAGAAGGCCU
rnacentral:rRNA from 1 species